GCCUGAGUGGCUCAGUGGUUGAGCGUCUGCCUUUGGCUCAGGGUGUGAUCCUGGGGUCCUGGGAUCGAAUCCCACGUCGGGCU
rnacentral:tRNA from 1 species